rnacentral:rRNA from 1 species
UACAGAGGUCUCAAGCGUUGUUCGGAUUCAUUGGGCGUAAAGGGUGCGUAGGCGGCGCCGUAAGUCAGGUGUGAAAUUUCGGAGCUUAACUCCGAAACUGCAUUCGAUACUGCGGUGCUUGAGGACUGGAGAGGAGACUGGAAUUCAUGGUGUAGCAGUGAAAUGCGUAGAGAUCAUGAGGAAGACCAGUGGCGAAGGCGGGUCUCUGGACAGUUCCUGACACUGAGACACGGAAGGCCAGGGGAGCAAAACGGG